rnacentral:lncRNA from 1 species
AAGCCGGCCGGCCGGCGUGCCGGGUGGUUGUAAACUAGGCCAAACGGAAGCGGCUCUCCUUGUCCUGGUAGCCAUCAGCGCCGGCCCAGGAAGAGUCUCAGCCUGAAACGACCUGUAGGGCUCCCCCCCCUUUACACUACUACCCCCCCCCAUUUAAAAGCGAAAGGAGGGUCGCCCCCGCACACCUUAGGGAGCCAGCUGCCUCCGCCCCCGGGAAGAGAAAUACCGUGCGAUUAACGGUAAUGGUGAACUCCUCCCGGCUUAGGGAGCCUUUCAAAGCGAUGGUAAUGAAGGAAGCAUUUCAUAGCGCAUAGGUUUCCAGGAAAAGUACAGCACCCGCUAUGGGUGUAGCCAAGGGAGGGGCAGCUGCCCCCACAAUCUAUAAAAAUCAACAUUUGUUGUUUAGUCGUGUCCGACUCUUUGUGACCCCAUGGACCAGAGCAAGCCAGGCACUCCUGUCUUCCACUGCCUCCCACAGCUUGGUCCAACUCAUGCUGGUAGCCUCGAGAACACUGUCCAACCAUCUUGUCCUGUCGUCCCCUUCUCCUUGUGCCCUCCAUCUUUCCCAACAUCAGGGUCUUUUCCAGGGACUCUUCUCUUCUCACGAGGUGGCCAAAGUAUUGGAGCCUCAGCUUCAGGAUCUGUCCUUCCAGUGAGCACUCAGGGCUGAUUUCCUUUAGGAUAGGUCUGAUCUUCUUGCAGUCCAUGGGACUCUCAAGAGUCUCCUCCAGCACCAUAAUUCAAAAGCGUCAAUUCUUUGGCGAUCAGCCGUCUAGCAAACUCAGGUUCUGCCCACUAACAAAAGGCCUACUCACCACGGUACCCGCUUUGGAAAGUCCAAUCCUAUUGUCAGGGCAAGAACCCCUGACUGCACUGCACUUAACAGCAGUAAUAUAAAAGUCUCGCGUCCCUGACCUGAUGAGAACCCGAUUCUAUUAAUUUUGUGCAUCGUGCUGCUCUUCAGCGAAGUUGCUUCUAAAUUUCAACUGCAGAGUGAUCUUUCUGCGGCAGUAGUGUUGCCCCAGGGCAACAGGCUCAUUUCCCCAUUCCCAAGCACCCCACUCUCUUCCCUUUUCGCUUGCCAAAACAUGUAGCAAUAAUGACAAUUUAUUUUGUCUUGAAUGUAGUUCAGAACAUGAAACAACAGGUUAUGUGGAUGGCAUCAGUGGUACAAAAGCAGCAGCAGAAAGGACAACACAGGAUAGGAGAGGGGAAGGGCACACCCCUCUGGAUGAUGACAGCAACCAUCACGAUACUGGAAUGUAACAGGCCAACUUGCAGCACUGAAAAGAGUCAUUGCAGAGGUCACUACCACAAGUGUGUAUGAGCUGCAGAAAGGAAAGAGAGUGCACACAUUUGUGUUUUUAACUGCCCUGGGGUCAUCUGAUGGAGGGUGAGCCAAAGCAGGUAUUUAAAAAUAAAUAAGACACAUGGCAUAAGACCAUAGCAUUCUGCUCUCACACAACUCACAGGAAACUUGAGGCUGAUCCACACCCUAUAUUUAAAGCACAUCUAACACACUUUAAAAACACAUGACUUCCCCAAAGAAUCCUGAUAACUGUAGGUUUUUUUUAAAGGUGCUGGGAAUUAUAGCUAUGGUCUCAGGGUUUUUUUGGAGGAAUGAUGUGUAUCGGAUGUGCUUUAAAUGUUUGAUGAGAACCUAUCUAAAGACUACCCAUUGGAAACAAGGUGGCAGCAC